rnacentral:lncRNA from 1 species
GGCGCACCGGAGCCAGAGGUGAAAUCUCACCAUGCUGCCCAGGCUGGUCUUGAACUCCUGCACUCCAGUGAUCCACCUGCCUCAGCCUCCCAAAGAGCUGGGAUUACAGGCGUGAGCCACCGUGCAAGCCCUACAAUUUUAAAUACUUAAAUGUGGUUAAUGAACUCAAAUCUGCAUGUCUGGUGAAAAUGCCGAGGUUAGUGCUACCCGCAAAAGAUGUGAACGAUGCAGGGCUGGUGAUCCCCAGCACAGCCCCCACCUGACUCCCUAGCUGGGCGAGGCGCAAGGCGGGCAUCCUUGGAGAAUGCCUGUGGAUUUUCACAAAGCUCAGCAGGUGGCUAUUGCAACUGCACCUGCUGCUACUUAUAUGACAUAUUUUCCAGAGCAAAUCGACAUGACCCCUGGCACCUGGAGUGAGCCAUUGGCCUGGAAAAUGCUUUUCUCCCUAUAAUCAUUCACAAGGAUGGGGCUGCUGGGCACGUGGGGCCCUUGCCCAGGCUAUCCUCAUCCACGUCCUCAGCAGCACCUUCAGGCAGGAAGAGCGGGAGUCAGACAUAGGACUCUCCUCCAGGUUCAAGACCACGACCAGCCCAGCCCGUGCAAAGUGCAGGUUAACCUGGGCAGUAGCAGUCGCCCGUGGAAUCAGUGCCAGAACUCUGUGCAAGGGAAGCUCCUCAUCGUGGAUGAACCAGGCUAUGUUUGCGAGAGGAGGGAUUUGCUGGUGCAGGGCUGUAACGUCCACAGCCCUAGUGUGAAGCAGUGCUGCUGUGACGGCUGCUGGCCAUGUCUCUUGCUGCCUGCAGCCCAGCCAGGAGCUUCUCCUGGAGCAUCGUGGUGUUCCAGAACCUCUUCAUGGCAGUCGAAGAUCAGUAUUGAGUCAUGUCCGGCCAAAUGCAGGACCUCAUCCCAGGGCCUCAUCCCACCGACCGGGACCCCAUUGCGAAGAAUUGCUAUGGAGAAAGCCCACCCGAGCUCUUCCCGGCAUGGCGGGUGCAGCGGAUGCUCUCCAGCUUGGGCGAGGAGCUCAUCUCCUGGGGCCCAGCUGCAGCACUCAGGCCAGGCCACGGGAAGAAGACAAAGGCAGCGCAGGGAAACCUUGGCUUUGACCACCUCUCGUGUUGUCAUCUUUGGCCUCUGUGAAGCAGCUUGGAAACUCCAGCUGGUCCCAUCGGGGAAGGAAGAAACCACGGCGAGGCUCCGGCAGUGCUGGUUCUUGGAGGACUGGACGCUGGGGCCUGCACAGGGACCUGUGACUCAGGUUUGUCGGGGGCCAGGUGUCACUGCCAGUUUUGAUCCAGGCCCCUUCACUGUAAAAUUAUUUAUUGGAUUCCUUUGGAGUAGUGGGAAAAUUAUAAUGUUUUAUGUAGGAGAAUGCCUUGUCAUUCUAGCAGAAAAUGUUCAAGGAAAGUAUUUUUGUUGUUCUCGUGUUCUCAAGUUUCAUGAGUUAAAUCAUCCCUUCACCCAGAUAAACUGUUUCAUCUUUUUCUUUUUUUUUUCUUUUUGAGAUGGAGUUUCGCUCUUGUUGCCCAGGCUGGAGUGCAAUGGCGCAUUCUCGGCUCACCACAACCUCUGCCUCCCAGGUUCAAGCGAUUCUCCUGCGUCAGCCUUCGAGUAGCUAGGACUACAGGCAUGUGCCACCAUGCCCGGCUAAUUUUGUAUUUUCAGUAGAGAUGAAGUUUCUCCAUGUUGGUCAGGCUGGCCUCGAACUCCUGACCUCAGGUGAUCCACCUGCCUUGGCCUCCCAAUGUGCUGGGAUUUUAGGCGUGAGCCACUGCGCCGAGCCUGUUUUGUCUUUUAGAACGUGAAAAAUAAU